rnacentral:SRP_RNA from 2 species
UCGUGCUAGAUGGGGAGGUAGCGGUGCCCUGUAACCCGCAAUCCGCUAUAGCGGGAUUGAUGCCUGCUCUGAGGUGCUAUUACGUGUAGUCUGACCCAUGUAAGUGGCGUUGACGACUGGGUCUUGUGCAACGGAAACUCGUGAACCCCGUCAGGUCCGGAAGGAAGCAGCGGUAAGUGAAUCUUUUCGUGUGCCGCAGGGUAGCCUGGUCUGAGUUAACUGCAUGGGUAACGUACGGGUGAUAGUCAUCGAAGGCAGGUGCACGA